GUGAAAACCCUAAAACUAGUUCGAGUGUUCGCAUAUAUCGUCAUCAUCAGAUUGCAUACACCUGAACACAAAUUAAGAGCUAAAGCAAGUGAAUUUGGUGAAGUUGCAUUUGCUCAUGGUAGCACUAGGAAGCUUUCUCAUGCUUGUAAAUCUCAAGUUCUCUAUGGUGUUGACAAGUUAGGGGACUCUAUAAAUCAGAAGUACUAGCUUACAGGUGGCUUUUUGUUACUGAACGGGAUAUUAAGGGCCUACCUUAAUUACAGGUAUAUGUAUUUUCUUUUACUCCAUCUAGGGGCUUAACUUCUAGUUAGUGAGUUAUAAUUAAUUACUCCCUCUGUCCCACUAAAAGUGUCCUAGUUUGAUUUUUUAAAGUCUUUAUUUAUAAACUUUGACCUUAAAUAAUUUUGGUUGUGUUUGAUAAUACUUGAUGAAAGUUAUAUGAUUUGAGUGUGUUUUACAAGUGUUUUUAUGGGGUUAAUUUUCAUCAAGUUUUAUAUAACACAAAAAAUAUAUAAUUAAAGUCAAAGUUUAUAAAUAAAGACUUUGAAAAUUCAAAACAGGACACUUUUAAUGGGACGGAGGUAGUAAAAAACUACAUUAGCACAAAAAAGAGACCGCAUGCUUAAAGAAUCUAUUUUGGGCAUCUUUUGACCCUAUUGACCCAUUCACCACAUUUUUAGCAAUAUUUUGGUUCACCAAUUGAUUUGUCUUAGAUAGAAGACAACUCAAUUUGACUCGUUAUAAACUAAUGGGUAGACAUUCUCAUCAUGAACACUCUUGUCGUUUGGUGAUGGCAAUUCUGACAACUAGAGGUAUUGAAAAAACUACCCUACCUUUGGCUGAAGAGCUUAAAGUGAUGUGUGAAUUUGUGUUUUAUUAAUUGCUCUUACAUCUUUUAUAGUUAUAGUUAUGAGAUCUAAUCAAUUUAACAUGAACUGUAAAAUUUCUGGUUGAAUAUAGUGAGUUGGUUGAUGCGAUGACAACAAGCAGUAAGUGCAGAGAACUAUGAAGUGGGAAAUAUGAUUGCUUAGAAAGGGUUAACACGACGAUUAUUUUACUUGCAAACAAGAUUGUGUAAGAGAUUCACGAAUGUAUUGAAGUUUUGAGUUUCUAUUCAAACAUUUAUUGACUAUUUGUUUUGUAUGUUUGGUAUUUAGACAUAGGUUGACGCUUAUUAGACUUUUGUUUGCAAACAUUGGAAUCUUUGGAAGAUGAUUGAUUGAACUUUUUAAUUGAAGUGAUUAU
rnacentral:lncRNA from 1 species